AUGUUUUUUUAUGUUAAUGUCAUUGUUCCGCUAGCUAAACAGACCUUGUUGAUCCUCUUAGAUGUGCCUCUUUUCAUCCCUCUCUGUGAAAAGAAGGUGGGAGAUCACAUAAUAAACAUAGUGCUGGUGAGUAGCAUCGGUCCCAACAUUUUUCCCACCGCUUCUUAUUCUAACAAUGGGCAGUUUCUCUGCAGUUGCACAAAUAUUAUCCUAGGCUUUAUCCCGACGAUUCCAUUGACUAUGUCUCUUCCAUGUACUUCGUCAACUCCCCCCCUCCUCCGUACUGAGAAGCUUCAAAGUACAAGGAUCGUGUAA
rnacentral:rRNA from 1 species